AGGCCAUGGCCACCAUCGAUCGAUCUCCAUCCCUAGAGCAUCCCAAACCAAGCCCUUGCGCCAUCGGGUUUGCCUCGACGAGGCGAACUCAUUUUCCUAGUUUCCCCUUCCUUUCCCCUUCCGAAACCAACCAUCACAGUCACCUCCUCUUGUUACCGGAGCAAGCUCUUGCCGCCGCCGUUCCGGUCACCUCCCUAACGCUAUGUACCGGAAACUACCCUCCCUGAGUACGCGUUGCUUGGGAACACGUGUUGCCGCCGGUGUCACAGUCUUUCAUCCACCGGAGAGCCGGCGCCCCUCCUCUCCCUUCUCUCUGUUUGUUCGUGAUGAAAGAGAGAAGAAGCAAGAGGAAGGAGGAAUUAGAAGAAGAAGAGACAUAUGACAAAGGAAACGUGCUAACAAGGAGAUCAGAAGGAAGCGAGAUCUACGACAACGACUAGUUUUUCUAGGCUAGUCUACACUCGAGCUUUUGCCUGUGGAGUUCUUUGAAAUUCUUUGGAAUUUAUUAAUUGUAGUUCUAUUAGUUGAAGAAGUUUAGGAGUUUAGUACUUUGGAUUUUCUUGUAUUUCAAAUAAGGAUAUUUUAGUUUGGAUCUUUUCACCUUUUAACAGUAGUAUAAUUAGCUUGUAUGAACAAACCUGUGUAAAUAAUCGAAAGUUGUUCUGUAUAUCAAUCUGUACGUGAUUGAAAUCCUA